AUACGUAGGGUGCAAGCGUUAAUCGGAAUUACUGGGCGUAAAGCGUGCGCAGGCGGUUUUGUAAGACCGAGGUGAAAUCCCCGGGCUCAACCUGGGAACUGCCUUUGUGACUGCAAGGCUAGAGUACGGCAGAGGGGGCUGGAAUUCCGCGUGUAGCAGUGAAAUGCGUAGUUAUGCGGAGGAACACCGAUGGCGAAGGCAAUCCCCUGGGCGUGUACUGACGCUCAUGCACGAAAGCGUGGGGAGGAAACAGGAUUAGAUACCCUGGUAGUCCACGCCCUAAACGAUGUCAACUGGUUGUUGGGUCUUCAUUGACUCAGUAACGAAGCUAACGCGUGAAGUUGACCGCCUGGGGAGUACGGCCGCAAGGUUGAAACUCAAAUGAAUUGACGGGG
rnacentral:rRNA from 1 species